UACAGAGGUCCCGAGCGUUGUUCGGAUUCACUGGGCGUAAAGGGUGCGUAGGCGGCUUGUCGCGUCGACUGUGAAAUCCCGCGGCUCAACUGCGGGUCUGCAGUCGAUACGGGCAGGCUAGAGUUCGGUAGGGGAGACUGGAAUUCCUGGUGUAGCGGUGAAAUGCGCAGAUAUCAGGAGGAACACCGAUGGCGAAGGCAGGUCACUGGGCCGCAACUGACGCUGGAGGAAGCGAAAGCAUGGGGAGCGAACAGG
rnacentral:rRNA from 1 species